rnacentral:lncRNA from 1 species
GCAGCAGGGAGAGACAGACAGGAGUUUUCGGGACUUCCAACAGAGACUGAGGGCGGAGUUUGAUCGGCCUGAGCCAGGGAUCGAACUCUGCCCCUCCACCACAUCCAGCGCCAGUCAGGAUCCGGGGCAAGAAGACCCAGCACUGGUGGGCGACGAGAAGGUCGCUCCUCCCGAGAUCCUGGCUGUGCCCCCUGAGGAGGUCCCGGAGAGCCCAGAGAGGGAGCCAGACGACCCUCUCUUUUGUCUGUCUCUGUCUGUGUGUGUGUGCGUGGCAUAUGUGUCCGUAUGUCGCCCCCACUUACCCUCUUUGUGUCCACCAGAUGGCGACCCAGCCGCGGAGCCGAACCCCAGGGAGGAGGUUCCUGACCCGAAUGUGCUGGUCCAAGGUGAGGUGGACAAGCCCCAAGGUACGGGAGUCCGGGGCUGCCAUGCAGGACCACGCCGUGGAGCCAGGCCGAGGGUCCGGGGCCGCCAUGCGGGACCACGCCGGGGAGCCAGGCCGAGGGUCCGGGGCCGCCAUGCGGGACCACGCCGGGGAGCCAGGCCGAGGGUCCGGGGCCGCCAUGCGGGACCACGCCGGGGAGCCAGGCCGAGGGUCCGGGGCCGCCAUGCGGGACCACGCCGGGGAGCCAGGCCGAGGGUCCGGGGCCGCCAUGCGGGACCACGCCGGGGAGCCAGGCCGAGGGUCCCGGGGCCGCCAAGGUCCGGGCCGCCAAGCGCCGGGGAGGCCAGGCCGAGGGUUUGGGGCCGCCACGCCUGACCACGCCGGGGAGCCAGGCAGGCCGAGGGUCCGGGGCCGCCAUGCGGGACCACGCCGGGGAGCCAGGCCGAGGGUUCCGGGGCCGCCAUGCGGGACCCACGCCGGGGAGCCAGGCCGAGGGUCCGGGGCCGCCAUGGCGGGACCAGCCGGGAGCCAGGCCGAGGGUCCGGGGCCGCCAUGCGGGACCACGCCGGGGAGCCAGGCCGAGGGUCCGGGGCCGCCAUGCGGGACCACGCCGGGGAGCCAGCCCGAGGGACCGGGGCCGCCACGCCUGACCACGCCGGGGAGCCAGCCCGAGGGACCGGGGCCGCCACGCCUGACCACGCCGGGGAGCCAGCCCGAGGGACCGGGGCCGCCACGCCUGACCACGCCGGGGAGCCAGCCCGAGGGACCGGGGCCGCCACGGCUGACCACGCCGGGGAGCCAGCCCGAAGGACCGGGUCCUCCAAGGGGAGGAUAC